rnacentral:lncRNA from 1 species
GACACCUGUGGCUGGAGGGUAAGGCGAGGGCGGCGGGUUUCUUGCCGUCGCCAACUCGCGGGGGACGCAGCGCGCACAGGUGCUCGCGGGGAGGCGAGCCCGCGCCAACCUGUCUGCUCUUCGCGGGGUCCGCGGCCGGCCUGGGUCUCACUCCUCCCGCGCAUCCUCCUGGUUUCCCUCCCCGGACGCGUGUCCUCCGGCCCUGGCCGAGAUGAAAGCGGCUGCCCGACCCCGGCUUUGUGUUGCUAAUGAGAUGAGGAUUCCAUGGCACAAAGAGCCAGGAAGGGAUUAAGAUGAGAAUCCUUGUGACUCGGAGAGGCCUCUCUCUGCCAGAAACCGGAGCUGCAGAGUUCUUACCCUGCCCAUGCCCCCAGCAGUCGGGCUUGCCCUGCCUUCCAAGCACCCUGUCUCAGAUGGACGGCUGCCAUGUGCAACAAAGCAACUAAUGGGGGGUGGAAAG